rnacentral:rRNA from 1 species
UAGGGAAUCUUCCGCAAUGGGCGAAAGCCUGACGGAGCAACGCCGCGUGAGUGAUGAAGGUCUUCGGAUCGUAAAACUCUGUUAUUAGGGAAGAACAAAUGUGUAAGUAACUAUGCACGUCUUGACGGUACCUAAUCAGAAAGCCACGGCUAACUACGUGCCAGCAGCCGCGGUAAUACGUAGGUGGCAAGCGUUAUCCGGAAUUAUUGGGCGUAAAGCGCGCGUAGGCGGUUUUUUAAGUCUGAUGUGAAAUCCCACGGCUCAACCGUGGAGGGUCAUUGGAAACUGGAAAACUUGAGUGCAGAAGAGGAAAGUGGAAUUCCAUGUGUAGCGGUGAAAUGCGCAGAGAUAUGGAGGAACCCCAGUGGCGAAGGCGACUUUCUGGUCUGUAACUGACGCUGAUGUGCGAAAGCGUGGGGAUCAAACAGG